rnacentral:tRNA from 1 species
GCCCCCAUCGUCUAGUGGCCUAGGACAUCACCCUUUCAAGGUGACGGCACGGGUUCGAAUCCCGUUGGGGGUGCCA